UACCAGCACAUUACUUGAUGUUUAUGAGGAACUAAAUCUGGGAAAAGGGUUUUCUACGAGAGUCACAACAGGCAUCCUGCACUUCCCACAUUAACCUCAGAGUUACAUUUUAAAAUCAACACGUGGAUAUGGUCAACUAAUACGAUGUCAUAGUAGGCAGACUACACUGUUCACAGAUUGCAGGAAGUUUUGACUAGAAGCUCAGUGGUAACAUUGACAAGACAGCCAAGCAGACAGAGUCUGGCAGAAGUGGAACUCAGAAUCAUCGGGGCAAACAUUGGCAGUGCUAAUCCAACUCCUAGACACGAAGAAGCUGCCCUGCGAGGCUGACCUCUGUGUUUAGCAGGUGCUGUGCUGGACAAUUGGGCUGGAACCAUGACAUGCAGUCUCUCUCUUUGCGGAGUUCACUGUGUUUUGGAGCAACAAUCAUAUCCUCAUAUCACAUCAAAGCAGUUAAUAGAAGCAUGCACCGAGGCCAGGCCUCAAUGUUAGUCCUGCCCUGACCCUGUGAACCAGGCUGCACUGCACACUAUCUUGAAAUACAACAAUCAUACCUGUUUCAAUCUCCUGCCCUUUCCUUUUCCUUUCCCCAACCCUCCUGUCCCCCUUCUUUGACAUGCUCCCUGCUUUUUGAGAAUUCAUCUCCUACACACAAUUUGCCAGGAGUAUAAUUCCUUUAAGGAAACGUGUCAAGGUCUCCCAGGAGCUCAAAAUGACUCACAGGUUCUACAAAAAUUACAUUUUUAAAAACUUUUAAUUUUAAUAAUAAUAUAAUAAGAAAACAUACUGUGCAGUAAUAAUUCAAAGUUUAAAUGAAAUUUGUUUGAUUAUACUUUAGUUUCUUUAAUGCUUUUUUUUUCAAACUGAGAUUCUUAGCACCCAGGCCAAAAGAUCCAAGGAUAUCUUCUAGGGAGUCCAUGAACAGUGGGUCCUUCAGAAACAUGACUCCGAAUCUAAACAAAUAAUUACAUCCUUGCCCUAAAAAAAUUGCUGACUUCACUAAAAAUAAAUUUAUGGAGCUAAGUUGAGCCAGUAACAACUGUUUAAUCUGAUGCUAUCUACAUUUCCAGCACAAAUUGAAGAGCAAGGAUAAAAUGAAUUCUUAAAGAAAUGGAAAAAAUUACCAGAUUUUCCUUAUAUUCAUGUAUUGAAUACUGUAAAUUUAUAUAAAUGUCACUUACUCAUCUCGUUAUAUAAAAAAGUCAAAGUUCAAUAAAAUACCUUCAAAUUUA
rnacentral:lncRNA from 10 species